ACUAUCCGCCCGGGAACUACGAGCAGCAGCUUAAAACCCAAAGGACUUGGCGGUGCUUUAGAUCCACCUAGAGGAGCCUGUUCUAAAACCGAUAACCCCCGUUCAACCUCACCUUUCCUUGUUCUCCCCGCCUAUAUACCGCCGUCGUCAGCUUACCCUAUGAAGGCCCCUUAGUAAGCACAAUUGGCACCGCCCAAAACGUCAGGUCGAGGUGUAGCGUAUGGAAAGGGAAGAAAUGGGCUACAUUCCCUACAAUAGGUAAUUACGGAUAAUAUUACUGAAACGUAUAUCUAGAAGGAGGAUUUAGCAGUAAGCAGAAAAUAGAGUGUUCUGCUG
rnacentral:rRNA from 1 species